rnacentral:rRNA from 1 species
ACGGGAGGCAGCAGUGGGGAAUAUUGGGCAAUGGGCGAAAGCCUGACCCAGCAACGCCGCGUGAAGGAUGACGGUCUUCGGAUUGUAAACUUCUUUAAUUGGGGAAGAACAAAAUGACCUACCCAAAGAAUAAGCCACGGCUAACUACGUGCCAGCAGCCGCGGUAAUACGUAGGUGGCAAGCGUUAUCCGGAUUUACUGGGUGUAAAGGGCGCGUAGGCGGGGAUGCAAGUCAGAUGUGAAAUCUAUGGGCUUAACUCAUAAACUGCAUUUGAAACUGUAUCUCUUGAGUGCUGGAGAGGUAGACGGAAUUCCUUGUGUAGCGGUGAAAUGCGUAGAUAUAAGGAAGAACACCAGUGGCGAAGGCGGUCUACUGGACAGUAACUGACGCUGAGGCGCGAAAGCGUGGGGAGCAAACAGGAUUAGAUACCCUGGUA